AUACGGAGGGUGCAAGCGUUACUCGGAAUCACUGGGCGUAAAGCGCGCGCAGGCGGGCUGAUAAGUUGGAUGUGAAAGCCUACGGCUCAACCGUAGAACUGCAUCCAAAACUGUCAGUCUAGAGUGUGGGAGAGGAAGAUGGAAUUAGUUGUGUAGGGGUAAAAUCCGUAGAGAUAACUAGGAAUACCAAAAGCGAAGGCGAUCUUCUGGAACAGUACUGACGCUGAGGCGCGAAAGCGUGGGGAGCAAACAGGAUUAGAAACCCGAGUAGUCC
rnacentral:rRNA from 1 species